rfam:Agrilus planipennis Contig49408, whole genome shotgun sequence.
AGGUAGAGGGGUUUUAGUCGGUAGGUCCGAGGACUUCUUCCUCGGGAAUCCGACACUACCCAGUCGUACGGACGGCUGGGUGACUUCUGAAGAUUUCCCCUCUUCC